GUCUAUGGCCAUGUCACCGCAAACUGACCCAAUCCCAGCUGAUCUCAGAAGCUAAGCAGGGUCAGGCCUGGCCAGUACUAGGAAGGGAGAAGCAGAGGUUGUCCAUGAUC
ensembl:rRNA 5S_rRNA 5S ribosomal RNA